CCACACUGAAGUUGGUUCGUUAGGGGACGACAGCACCUUGGCCCAUAGGUAAUUAGGCAUACACCUUCAAGCACGUACAUACACCUACACGUGUGUUCUUGUAAAAUCAACAGCAGCAGCAGCAGUACAGAGACGGGAACGCAGGCGGACGUCUUGCGCGCGUUGCUCUCACAUCGCCAGCCCUUCUCCUGCCGAUUUUUUUUUGCGCUUCUUCCUUUCGUUCCUCUCCUUCGACUCGCUUUGCUCUCUGCUGCCCGCUCACGCAACGACUGUUUUCCAUUUUUUCCCCACCCUGCCCGUACUUCGGUUCCUCUGCUCUCGUCUCUUGGCUGCCACCCCGACGUCACUCGAUCGCGUUCACAGUAGCGCGUGACUGCGUGCCCUUUGUUUACACGUCGCUCCCUUCUUCCGUUGCUGUCGGUUUGCUUUUUUUUUCCUUUCGCGUUCAUCUUCCUCACCUCCUUUUGUUUUCGGGUGCGUAUCCUGCGCGUGCACUCGUAGAGGUUUUUGGGUUCGCGCCCUUGUUCCGUCGCCAUUGCCAGGGACCUGAAUACCGUAUUCCUUGCGCUUUCUGUGUGUGGGUGUGCGCACGUGACAGCCCGAUCCGGAGACUUCAUCCACCGUAGCAACUCAUCAGCAAUACCCGCUUCACAGAACAAUGGGCCAGCCGAACACGAAAGACUCAAAGCGGCGCCGCGUAGGUCUGCCCAGCAGGAGCGUCAGCGGCGCCAACCGGCCCACCUGCGUCCGGCCGACGGCGGUGAGCGACAGCGUGCUACAGCAGGCAGGCGCAACGUCCGGAGCCACGCGCCACUCCGACCCGAGCAGCGCGCACAGCACGAGCCGAAGCUCGCUGCCGCGCCUGCACUCGGGAUCCGUCGGCGCCACUGGCAGCAUGACCGGCAACGUGCCUGCCGCCACCUUUCCUAUUGUGCUGCGCUACCAGGACCAGGAUGUGGGUACGCUAAUCGAGUCGAGGAAGCCUGUGUACGUUGCUGUGGAGGCAAUGAACUGGCAGCCGCUGCCCAUGACACCGAGCGCGGACUCCUUCUACGCGCUGCUUGAGCUCCCGCCCGGCAACCACAACUACCGCUUCCUUGUCAAUGGGAUGGAGGUAGUGGAUAGCACGCAGCCGCUGGCACCGGGGACGGCCUCGUCAGACGCGCCUGUCCCCCUGCAGACACCGCAGAAGCCCGUCGGUUUGGCGGUGACGCAGCCGCUGCCGAAGCCAGUUCCGGCGCGUGACGGCAAGCCGGCGAACACUAUCUUCCUGAACGACGUGCUGCUGACGACAAAGGAAGACGACGACAUCAUGGACAAUGGGGAGGGUUGGGGUCAGGAACCGAUCAUGUUCGAGGAGUCUCGCAAGUACCCACCGAUUGUGCCACUGCACCUGCGGUACACCCCUCUCAAUACCCCACCCACGCUCGUGCGCUGCUCCCGCGACGGUCGCAUGGCGGUUAUGGACGCUGGCGCAGAGCACAGCUCCCGCGUGCCGCCGGAGCACCUGCCUCUGCCGCUUAGCGUCACGAUCAACCACGUGUACUUCCAGCGCCGCGAGGACCACGCCGUCAUGGGCGUAACAACGCGCUACUGCAACAAAUACACAACGGUGGUGUACUACUCGCACCUGCCAGCGAACCCGGUCGACCCCUUGGAGUCACUGCAGGCGUAGCUGGUGAAGCUCAUCAAAGAGGAUAAAGAGAAGGGUGGGGAGCCGAUGCCCGGGUAUGGAUCAGUGGACGGGCGGGUGAGGGGGGCGCGUCCCACAUCCGGAGACCCCUCUCGCCCUGUGCGUGCUUUUAUAUGGUUGCUGUUGUUCUCCUGUUGCCUUGUCAGCUGGCCUCCGCAGCCGUGCAGACUCAGCUCGUCGGUGUUUUAUUUUUUUUUUUGUCUUUUUCUCGUCUUCAUCGUUAUGUGUCCGUUAUGACUUACGUGAGGGGCGAGGAGGUGGGGAAGGGGUGAGCGAACAGCCUCUCUCCCUCCCUCCCCCUUACUCCACGCCACUCUCCAAAGCCCCGUUGUUAGAUUGGGAACAGAAGGAGGGGCGAUGCUUACUAACGCGCACACACGCAUGUACAAGCACGAGAAGGCAGCCGGCACCGG
rnacentral:misc_RNA from 1 species